UAAAUAAUAAUAAUAAUAAUAAUAAUAAUAAUAAUAAUAAUAAUAAUAAUAAAUGGGUCAAACUGACCUGCAUGGCGGUUCUAGUGUUAAGAGACUAGUCUGGCAGGUUCGCAAAGGGCUUGACUGUCUUAUUGGAAGUUUGGUGCAGUUUAAUGACAUAAUGCCGUAGUUACACACCUAAGAAGAGACGCAUCGCAUGAAAUCGAACAUGGCGGCUGCCCAAAGACCACUAGGGGAAUCAAACAUAGCGAAUGGAGGCUACAAAGGGGUUAACACAGAGAGUGGUGAGGGUACGAUAUGAAAAGGGUUAUCUUGCCAUGCAGAGAGGUGAAGGUGCUAUAUGAAACGGGUUACCUUGCCAUGCAGAGACUGGUGAAGGUACUAUAUGAAACUGGUUACCUACCUGUUGUUUAUGCUGAAUCACUUGGAUCCAUUAAGACCCAACUUGACAAAGUUGUGAGAUCAAUAAGCUACUGGGAAAGAAAUGUUGUGUUUCAAAGGCAUUAAAACAUUGUGUUUGUUU